UAGGGAAUCUUCGGCAAUGGACGAAAGUCUGACCGAGCAACGCCGCGUGAGUGAAGAAGGUUUUCGGAUCGUAAAACUCUGUUGUUAGAGAAGAACAAGGACGUUAGUAACUGAACGUCCCCUGACGGUAUCUAACCAGAAAGCCACGGCUAACUACGUGCCAGCAGCCGCGGUAAUACGUAGGUGGCAAGCGUUGUCCGGAUUUAUUGGGCGUAAAGCGAGCGCAGGCGGUUUCUUAAGUCUGAUGUGAAAGCCCCCGGCUCAACCGGGGAGGGUAAUUGGAAACUGGGAGACUUGAGUGCAGAAGAGGAGAGUGGAAUUCCAUGUGUAGCGGUGAAAUGCGUAGAUAUAUGGAGGAACACCAGUGGCGAAGGCGGCUCUCUGGUCUGUAAAUGACGCUGAGGCUCGAAAGCGUGGGGAGCAAACAGG
rnacentral:rRNA from 1 species